rnacentral:rRNA from 1 species
UACGAAGGGGGCAAGCGUUGUUCGGAAUUACUGGGCGUAAAGGGCGCGCAGGCGGCCGAUCAAGUCAGAUGUGAAAGCCCCGGGCUCAACCUGGGAAUAGCAUUUGGGACUGGUCGGCUAGAGUUCGGGAGAGGAGAGUGGAAUUCCCAGUGUAGAGGUGAAAUUCGUAGAUAUUGGGAAGAACACCCGUGGCUAAGGCGGCUCUCUAGUACGGUACUGACGCUGAGACGCGAAAGCGUGGGGAGCGAACAGG